GGCACUUGCCUAUCUGCUUUUGUCUAACUUGUGAACUAAGACUUAAUGGACAAGGGCAAGAAACAAAUCCUCUGUGGCAACCCACAUGAGUUUUGAUGCAGGUAAGAAGGAAGACU
rnacentral:snoRNA from 1 species